CACCCGGUAGCUCAGUGGUUAGAGCGCAGGCUUAACAAGCCAGAGGACCAGGGUUCGAUUCCCCGGCCGGGUGG
rnacentral:tRNA from 1 species